UACGGAGGGGGCUAGCGUUGUUCGGAAUUACUGGGCGUAAAGCGCGCGUAGGCGGCUUUGUAAGUUAGAGGUGAAAGCCCGGAGCUCAACUCCGGAACUGCCUUUAAGACUGCAUCGCUAGAACGUCGGAGAGGUAAGUGGAAUUCCGAGUGUAGAGGUGAAAUUCGUAGAUAUUCGGAAGAACACCAGUGGCGAAGGCGACUUACUGGACGACUGUUGACGCUGAGGUGCGAAAGCGUGGGAGCAAACAGG
rnacentral:rRNA from 1 species